CUGAUUGAUCUGAAUCGACUCGGAGUGCCACUGCUUGAUGGUUUUCAGGUUUUGCUGUAUUGCGAAAUGUCAUGUCUCUUGCUAUGAAUCCCUUUCCAGACACGGCUGCAAAGUGGAACAGUAUGUAAAAGGUAUUGUUGGUUAAUUUGGGACGAAGUUGAGCUUAAUCAAGCAUUGAAUUAGAUUUAAUUGAAGUGUGAUUACAGUUUUAUUAGUUUAGUUUUAUUCAAAUUAUAUCUGUUCAUGCUUAAAUUUUUAAAAACAGAGUUAUAAUCUCAAUCUAUAAGUUAAUUAGAGAAGCAUGAUACGAAGGACUUACCAACAGUUGCAGUUCGAAAAGUUGUCCAUCCUUGCAUGAAAUUUCGAUUUCCAGUCACCACAGUCUCUCCAAUUCCAUCUCCAACAAGCAUAAUAUUAGUUUUCUUUCUCUUCAUAUCUAUGUUUUCUCUAUAAACACCCUUCUUCACAUAUAUAAUAUACCUUCUGUUACUGUAGCUUGGAGCUUCGCUAAUUGCUUCUGUGAUUGUUUGAUAAUUGCCCGUUCCAUCUAACGCCACAAUUGCAUCUACGUGCAUGCGAAGAGGACUGGCAUUGAGAAGCUCUUGAUCACCAUCAGUGAUCCAAUUCGGAAGGUCCAUGUCUUCUGAUUCUGAGCUAUUCUCAAGGUUUGUAAACGGAUGAUUAGAAGUAAUAUUUCUAGGAGGCUUAAAAGGUAAGCUAUGAAGUUGAGUGUAGAGAGCCAAGACAUUAGCAAUGAGUUGAUUGACUUGUUCAAGACUUCCCUUAAUAAAAUUCUCUAAAUGUCUAUCUGUACCUUCAAAUCCUUCGAGGCAAGUGUCUUGAUUGCUCAAUGCAGCGCUUAACCAAGUUUUCAAAUUCCCUUCAUAAUGAACAUUCUUAUCACCAGCUCUAAUCUUCUUCAUCUCUGUUAAAGACCAGGCCAAUUCAGACACUGAGAAAUCUAGGAGUUCCUUGCAAUCUUCAAUAGCGAGCUGCUCACGGUAGCUGACAGACAAAGUAUUGAACUUUGUGAUCAUUUGAAUGGCAUCUUUUGCUUCUUUAAGUGUUGCUUUUAUUGUUGCAGUGAGAAUUGAAGUGGGGUUUAGAUCGGAAGUUGAUUCUAGUUCGUUGUGUAUGUUUGAGAUGCACGAAGCUUGGUUUUCAAUGUUGCUACAAGCUUGUAGAAUCAUUUUUUCAAUGGUUAAAUCUCCGAUGGAUAAAGAGGUUUCGUUGGAGAAAGCUUGAAGUGAUGGUAGAAGGAAGAGAAGGAAAAGAGGACUGGUUAAGGCCAUGUUUGGGGCCAUAUCGAUGAGAAGAACAAAGGCAAGAUGUUUAUUUAAUUUCUAUGUGAAAUUAAAAGAGAAAUUUUAUAUGCAAGGGAACAUAGGGUUCGUUUGUUCAGAAAGAAAUGUAUUACCUUUUGAGCUAUCCAAACACUUUAUUUUUAUGCUUUUUCCCAAGACAAAGUUAUGCUUUCUUUUGGGUUCAUGGAUUUAGAAUUCCUUGUUUGGGAAUUCUUGAUUUCUUUAACAUUUUCUGUUGAUUCCCUUUUGUUUAUUGCCUAAAGCUUUAUUGGGUUAAAUUCUAACAUCAAAAUUCUUGUUUGGGAGUUCUUGAUUCUGUAAACUAACAUCAAUAUUAGUUUUAUUGGGUUAAAUUCUACAUAGAUGAAAAGUAAUCAAGGCUGAAAAAGUUGUCGGAUCAGGCUCUCUCAUCUCAUAAUACGCAGAGUGCGUAAAAGCCUCACCCCCAUUUCACUAAGAAGAGAAUAUAAGGAUCAAAACUUGCUUCCCUUAUUGGCAAAAUUCUCUUUCAAUGUGAAUUUUCACAAGAAACAAAGUUGGCCGAAAAAAAAAAAAAAAGAUGCCUUUCCUUGCUAAAACUAGGGGAAGAUUGGGUAAGGUAGCUCCUGAUUCUUUAACCAGGCCACCUAAUAACCAUAUUGGUACAUCCUUGGCGUAUAGUGUCCCUCAUGCUUUAACUUACAUGACUAAAUUCGAGGAUAUGUCAUGCUCAGUUGCAUAUAUAGGCAGAAUUAAGCAGAUUGUACAAAAAAUGCUGUAACCAUCAGAAGCCAUAAAAGCAUAUGAUAAAACACUGACAUAUGAUAGAAAAAACAACCACUGCUCUUUGAACAUAAUUAUAUAAAACAUGAGAUAGACAGUCUGGGCUGUUUUUCACUAUAAACUUAUCCGAGGAGGUAAUGUAUGUGCGAAACAGGCUUUGGCCAUGUUUUAAAAUUCUCAAAUGCACUUUGGAGCACACAUCUUAAUCCCAUCUAAUCUUGCAACCCCUGAUCUGCAGGGUUUCAAGUAUAUCUGGG
rnacentral:lncRNA from 1 species